rnacentral:rRNA from 1 species
UACGAAGGGUGCAAGCGUUACUCGGAAUUACUGGGCGUAAAGCGUGCGUAGGCGGUUUGUUAAGUCUGUCGUGAAAGCCCCGGGCUCAACCCCGGGAGGCGGGUGGAUACUGUCAAGCUCGAGUCCGGAAGAGGAGUGUGGAAUUCCUGGUGUAGCGGUGAAAUGCGCAGAUAUCAGGAGGAACACCAAUGGCGAAGGCAGCACUCUGGGACGUGACUGACGCUGAGACGCGAAAGCGUGGGGAGCAAACAGG